CAACGAGCGACGACCCACGCCAACAGUUGCCAGCAUGUCCUCCGGGAUGAUGGGGACACUGUUGGGACCGCCUCUGCUAAAGAGGAGGAAGGAAUGGGCAACGGUAGGUCAGCAUGCCCCGAAUUAUCCGGGCUACACGCGGGCUACAAUGGUCAGGACAAUGGGUAUCGACACCGAGAGGUGGAGGCAAUCUCCUAAACCUGUCCUUAGUUCGGAUUGUGGGCUGCAACUCGCCCACAUGAAGCUGGAAUCCGUAGUAAUCGCGUUCCAAAAUAGCGCGGUGAAUAUGUCCCUGCUCCUU
rnacentral:rRNA from 1 species